UCGUUCGGGUUUCGUUCCCCUCUGGAACCCUAACCCUAGGAGAGGGGAGGUCAGAAGAUGACGACGCGCUUCAAGAAGAACCGGAAGAAGCGUGGGCACGUGAGCGCCGGCCAUGGCCGGAUAGGAAAGCACCGGAAGCACCCCGGUGGCCGUGGUAACGCCGGAGGGAUGCACCACCACCGGAUCCUCUUCGACAAGUACCAUCCAGGGUACUUCGGUAAGGUCGGCAUGCGCUAUUUCCACCGCCUCCGUAACAAGUUCUACUGCCCCACCGUUAACGUCGAACGCCUCUGGUCUCUCGUGCCCGACGACGUCAAGGAUGCCGCCGCCGCCGCCGCCGGAAGCUCCGCCCCGAUGAUCGACGUCACUCAGUUCGGGUACUUCAAGGUGCUCGGCAAGGGGAUGAUGCCCCCCUCCUUCCCCGUUGUCGUGAAGGCCAAGCUCGUGUCCAAGAUCGCCGAGAAGAAGAUCAAGGCUGCCGGCGGCGCCGUCGUGCUCACCGCCUGAUGGUGACGUAUCACUGCUUUCAUUGGAGGAAGGGAACUCCAUUUGCUGAAGACCAGGGUAUCUAUAAUGGUUUAACUUGGUGGGAGCAGGUGGACAAUGGCAAGCAGCUCACCAACAAUAGAAAGUUUUUGUCUACUGUACCAGUGAUCCUGUACCUGAUUGCCUUACAUACGACGGACUACCAGUAUCCGAUGCUCUUUCUCAAUACACUUGCUGUGUUUGUGCUGGUGGUUGCCAAGUUCCCUAACAUGCACAAAGUCCGUAUCUUUGGAAUUAAUGGAGAUCACUGAUCUAUGCCCUAAGAAUAGGGUGUGCGAUUAUUUUCUUCAUGUACCUUCAUGGCUGAAAGAAAAUGGAAGUUUUGGGUUUUGAUAAGGGAUGCUUUGCUCUCAGUGCUGCAAUUCUUCUUGCAUUAUUGUAUAUUAGGUUAAAAUAAAUAACAAAAACAUAUACACGAAAUCGAUUGAGCAUUGGCACAAAGUUUUGGCUUUUGCAGGAUGGAUAUUAUGCAGUUAAUGUUGCAAAACUCUCUCCUUCAGCAUUUGUUCAAGAGAUAUUUGUUGUU